UACGUAGGGCGCAAGCGUUGUCCGGAAUUAUUGGGCGUAAAGAGCUCGUAGGCGGUUUGUCGCGUCUGCUGUGAAAACCUAAGGCUCAACCUCGGGCCUGCAGUGGGUACGGGCAGACUAGAGUGUGGUAGGGGGAGACUGGAAUUCCUGGUGUAGCGGUGGAAUGCGCAGAUAUCAGGAGGAACACCAAUGGCGAAGGCAGGUCUCUGGGCCACAACUGACGCUGGAGGAGCGAAAGCGUGGGGAGCGAACAGGA
rnacentral:rRNA from 1 species